CAGCCGCCGCGGGAAUACAUAGGAUGCAAGCGUUAUCCAGAAUGAUUGGGCGUAAAGCAUCUUUAGGUGGCUUUUCAAGUCCGUCGUCAAAUCCCAGGGCUCAGCCCUGGACAGGCGGUGGAAACUACUAAGCUGGAGUACGAUAGGGGCAGAGGGAAUUUCCGGUGGAGCAGUGAAAUGCGUUGAGAUCGGAAAGAACACCAACGGCGAAAGCACUCUGCUGGGCCGACACUGACACUGAGAGACGAAAGCUAGGGGAGCAAAUGGGAUUAGAUACCCCGGUAGUCCCUGUCUCUUAUAC
rnacentral:rRNA from 1 species